GGUGGAUUGGCCGAGAGGAUAGGCAGCGGCCUGCAAAGCCGUCCACACCGGUUCGAAUCCGGUAUCCACCUCCA
rnacentral:tRNA from 4 species